GAAAGCACAGACCAGGCAGGUACUUACACUUGUGGAAGCUGGCCAUAACUGGUGGCAAUACAGAUUCUAUGUACAUUCCUUCAUAACAACAAUUAUGGAAAAUUACUGGAAUGUUCCAAGUACUCAAGGGUCUGAACGUGUUUUUCCUUGCUCCAAGGAUCCACAUUUAUCAUUUGCUUUUGGAAUUUGAGGCCUUUUGAGGUGUGCAUAUCAUCCAUUUAUACACUGUUAUUAAUAACUGGCCACAGUUAGACUGAACAAGCUUUGGAGAACACCACCAACUUGGGUAGUGCCACAAAAGAGAGCUGCACUGCACUGAAGAGAAGCAAACCAGCAGAGAAAUCCUUUUGUGCCUUACCUUGUAACGGGAAGAGCAGAUGCCUUCAAACAUAUCUAUAUCCAUACAGUCCAUUGGUUCGGAUCUUCCUGCCCUCCCUCUCCUUUUGUACCAGUAGAAGUUGGAGGCCAACUGGCUGGCAAAACAGCUUUGCAGAGGAAGACCUGGGGCCCUCAGUGGACAAGUUGACCAUAGACAAGAAGCAUGCCCAUGUGACAAAGAAGGGACAGUAAAGAAGGUGAAGCCAGGCUCUUCUCAGGGGCUCAUUGAAAGAACAAGACGAAACAGGC